CCUACGGGUGGCAGCAGUAGGGAAUCUUCCACAAUGGGCGAAAGCCUGAUGGAGCAACGCCGCGUGGGUGAGGAAGGACUUCGGAUCGUAAAACCCUGUUGGUAGAGAAGAAAGUGCGUGAGAGUAACUGUUCACGUUUCGACGGUAUCUAACCAGAAAGCGACGGCUAACUACGUGCCAGCAGCCGCGGUAAUACGUAGGGGGCAAGCGUUAGCCGGAUUGAUGGGGCGUAAAGGGUGCGUAGGUGGUUUGGCAAGUUAGUAGCGUAACUCCAAGGCUCAACCCUGGAACUACUACUAAAACUGUUGGACGUGAGUGCAGGAGGGGCAACCGGAAUUCCUAGUGUAGCGGUGGAAUGCGUAGAUAUUAGGAGGAACACCAGUGGCGAAGGCGGGUUGCUAGACUGUAACUGACACUGAGGCACGAAAGCGUGGGGAGCAAACAGGAUUAGAUACCCUUGUAGUC
rnacentral:rRNA from 1 species